AUGCCAAGGUCGAGGACAGGCGAUGCAGAUAUCUGGGCAUGGGCGUGGGAGAAGUCCGGCCUUUUUACUAUACGAUCAGCGUAUAGGCAUGCAAUGGAAGAAAAGCGGCAGAUGACGGUGAUAGAGGGCUCAUCGACGGGUGAUGAAGGAACAGGGCGAGCUCUGUGGAAGCUUAAUGUUCUGCACAAGAUUAGGGUAUUUUGGUGGCGAGUGCUAAAGGGUUUUCUACCAAACUACCCAAUGUGUGGCAAUGAUAAUGAAACGUUGUUUCAUUCAUUGAUGGAGUGUGACCAUGUUAGACGCUUCUGGGAGGCGGCUGAGCGUUUCUUCGACAUAAACAUGCCGAGGCUCCAUCCAGGGACUUGGUCCCGGGAUAUACUGGACCAUAACAUGAUAAAGAAGGAGACUGCGGCAAUCAUGAUCACAGUGAUGUGGGCAGUGUGGCACUCAAGAAAUAGCUAUACACAUGGAGAGCAGCAGUACCAACCAAUGCAAUCCAUGAGAACCAUAGAAGAGAUUGUUUGA
rnacentral:rRNA from 1 species